CAUAGCCUUUUUGUCAUCAUAAAAGGUAAAGCCUGCCCGGUGUAAUCUUAUAAACGGCUGUUAUAACAUUAAAGUAGCGUAAUAAUUUGUUCCUUCAUUGGGGACUUGUAUGAAAGGCAGAACGGAAAUUUACUGUUUCUUUCGAAUUCUAAAAAAUUUCUAUUUAAGUGAAAAAGCUUAAAUUUCACUAAAAGGACGAGAAGACCCUAUAGAAUUUAAUAGCAUAAGGUUUUUUAUAAAUUUAUCUAUUUUGUUGGGGCAACAGGGGAGAAAAAACUCCAGUCUAUACAAUUUAAUAAUCAUAAAUAAAAUUUAUUGAUCCUAAAAUAGAACAAAGAAAAAUUACCUUAGGGAUAACAGCGUAAUAUCUCCCAGAGAGACCUAAUUGAAGGGAGAGUUUGCGACCUCGAUGUUGGACUAAGAUAGCUUUCAAAUGCAGCAGUUUGAAAUAGUAAGCCUGUCCGGCUUUUAAAAU
rnacentral:rRNA from 1 species